AGUAUCAUGCCGGCGCCAGCUUCCAGUUAUUCUCUAAACUGAUGGAAGCGGUGUGCGUCCAGACGUACGUGAAUAAUUAUUUGAUCGUA
rfam:Escherichia hermannii NBRC 105704 DNA, contig: EH10570401.